rnacentral:lncRNA from 12 species
AUUAGUAUAUUGAAGUUCCUCUCUUCUGUAAUGAAAUGUAAACAUUACUGAGGCCAGAUGUUACUAAACAAUGACAUUUCAUUUUCCUGACAAUCUUGAAGGCAAUGGAACACAACAAAGCACCACCAGAACAUCACAGUAACCAAGGCACAUCUCACCUGAUACAGAAAUUCUGUCACUCUUAUCUCAGGAGGCACCAGAUGUUACUAAACAAUGACAUUUCAUUUUCCUGACAAUCUUGAAGGCAAUGGAACACAACAAAGCACCACCAGAACAUCACAGUAACCAAGGCACAUCUCACCUGAUACAGAAAUUCUGUCACUCUUAUCUCAGGAGGCACCAGAUGUUCUCAUGAUUGUGCAUGUGCAAUAUUGACAGCCCAAACUACAUCCCAAAUGCAUUCAGAUGUGCUGCCAAAAAGUGCCAAAGUCUGAC